ensembl:lncRNA LINC01206 long intergenic non-protein coding RNA 1206
AGUAGGAUAAAAUCAUGUUGGAAUGGAGUUCUGUGUGGAUGCUCCUUUGAACCAAAUCAGUUCCACAACUGACCCUGUCAGGGACAUAUAAAUUUAGCAUUUUGGUGUGGAUACAGAAGACGAGAUUAACACAGAUCAAGUAACAUGGAAAUAAAAAAGGAGACAAUGCUGGAUGAUACAGGGGCAGCCAACAAGAGGAGAAAACCCAAGCAUUGGCAAAUGCCUCAUUAUCCAAAGAACACUGGGCCUCAGAGUAUGUCAGCUGGGGUCAGACGGGAACAGGAGUCUGGCUCAACACACAUUUAUUGCACUCCUGUUUCAUGCCAAGAAAUGUACCAAAAUCUGGGACUGUGUAACACAGCAAAGGAAAAGACUCAUCUCCAGGAAGCCCCCUUGUCUAGGAAGAGAAAUUGAAUAUCAGCAUAAGGUGGUGAAAAGCUGUGAAGGAGAUGAGUGCCAGGAGUCCAUGGAGGAAGGAUUCUAGCCUGGACAGGUGAUUGUGGUGAAUAGUCAUGAGAAUCUGGGAACUGGCUCCUGCUCUGUCUAUCUUGGAGAUGCAUCUUUUGUGAGAAGCCAGGGCAAGAAUAGGGAGGCUUAGGCAAUGGGAAGUUUCUGAGUAGAUAAAGCAGAUGGCAG